GUGAGUGCCUGCAACCUGGUUCAUUGAUUUGUAAUUUCUUAGUCUUCUAGAAUGUGUUUGUCAGCUCAGCCCAAGGAAUCCAUGGAAACUGAAAUUGUGAAUUGACUUUAACACUGUCAGUGUUGAGCCUAUCAUCUCCUUAAAAGUGAGGCUUUAUGAGCUUAAUUGGAUUAUUUGUUGUCCGUGCGAACUGCCUGCUUUUGUGAACUAGAGUUUGACGUCGGGUCUGGCGCUGACUGGCUGUGAGGAUUGGGCAGGUUAUUUCUUCUAACCCUUGUGACACCUGGACAUACUCUCACUAACUUCACAAGCCACAGGCUUGUUCAUUCAGCACGGAGAGGGUUCUGUAUCAAGAAUCUCCCUUUGACUUCCAGUUCAAGAUGAUGGAGUAGAAAGAUGUGUGCUUAUCUCCUUGAGAACACCAACGUUGCAACUAGCUACUGAUCAACCGUCGACAGGAGGACACUGGAACCCACCAAAAGAGGAACC
ensembl:lncRNA